ACAUAACCUUAGCGAAUGAGUCGCUGCCUAGUGAGUCAGCAAGAAAUAGCUAAACGAUUGGAAAGGAAAUAGUUGAAGUUUAGUUGUGGCGAAAUAAGAGAUUAAGUCUCAUACCACAUGAAAAGAAUUGGCCUAUCACUAUAAAAUUCUACAGCUGAUCCUAAUACGACUACGGUUUUUGUGAUCUGCUACGGGAAAUAGUGGGCUUCUCGUUACUUGAAGUAACA